rnacentral:rRNA from 1 species
CAGCAGCCGCGGGAAUACGAAGGGGGCUAGCGUUGCUCGGAAUGACUGGGCGUAAAGAGCGCGUAGGGGGCGGCCAAAGUCAGACGUGAAAUUCCUGGGCUCAACCUGGGGGCUGCGUUUGAUACUUGGUUGCUUGAGUGGGGAAGAGGGUCGUGGAAUUCCCAGUGUAGAGGUGAAAUUCGUAGAUAUUGGGAAGAACACCGGUGGCGAAGGUGGCGACCUGGUCCUUGACUGACGCUGAGGCGCGAAAGCGUGGGGAGCAAACAGGAUUAGAUACCCCUGUAGUCCCUGUCUCUUAUAC